CCUACGGGAGGCAGCCGUGAGGAAUAUUGGUCAAUGGACGAGAAUCUGAACCAGCCAAGUAGCGUGAAGGAUGACUGCCCUAUGGGUUGUAAACUUCUUUUAUAUGGGAAUAAAAUGUUCCACGUGUGGGAUUUUGUAUGUACCAUAUGAAUAAGGAUCGGCUAACUCCUUGCCAGCAGCCGCGGUAAUACGGAGGAUCCGAGCGUUAUCCGGAUUUAUUGGGUUUAAAGGGAGCGUAGGUGGAUUGUUAAGUCAGUUGUGAAAGUUUGCGGCUCAACCGUAAAAUUGCAGUUGAAACUGGCAGUCUGGAGUACAGUAGAGGUGGGCGGAAGUCGUGGUGUAGCGGUGAAAUGCUUAGAUAGCACGAAGAACUCCGAUUGCGAAGGCAGCUCACUGGACUGCAACUGACACUGAGGCUCGAAAGUGUGGGUAUCAAACAGGAUUAGAUACCCCAGUAGUC
rnacentral:rRNA from 1 species